CUUGUUUGUGGUGUGAAUUAGGGUUUACAUCUUCCCAAGAUCAUUUUGGUCGGCUGAUUCUUUUACUCUCUUUCAGUCUUGUCAUUGCAGAAUCUCUAAGAAGCUUCUUACGAAAAUGGUCCUUCAGGCCCACCUGCUGAGCUCGAGAAGAGGAAGCACAAGCUCAAGCGUCUUGUUCAGUCGCCCAAUUCAUUUUUCAUGACUAUCACACCUGCAGCAGCAUCAGAUUCAGUCGCUUCGUCCUCAAAUGGAUAAAGACUCUGGCUGAUUUCUUCAUCUUCACCUAAGCUAAUGUCAUAUUCAACAUCCAUUGAAGGUUCUUCGUCUUCUUCAGAAUCAGAACUAGAACCAGAAAGCUCAACAUCCAUUGAAGGUUCUUCGUCUUCUUCAGAAUCAGAACUAGAACCAGAAAGCUCAACAUCCAAUGAAGGUUCUUCG